rnacentral:rRNA from 1 species
GAACGGGUGAGUAACACGUGGGAAACCUACCUCUUAGCAGGGGAUAACAUUUGGAAACAGAUGCUAAUACCGUAUAACAAUGACAACCGCAUGGUUGUUAUUUAAAAGAUGGUUCUGCUAUCACUAAGAGAUGGUCCCGCGGUGCAUUAGCUAGUUGGUAAGGUAAUGGCUUACCAAGGCGAUGAUGCAUAGCCGAGUUGAGAGACUGAUCGGCCACAAUGGGACUGAGACACGGCCCAUACUCCUACGGGAGGCAGCAGUAGGGAAUCUUCCACAAUGGGCGAAAGCCUGAUGGAGCAACGCCGCGUGUGUGAUGAAGGGUUUCGGCUCGUAAAACACUGUUGUAAGAGAAGAAUGACAUUGAGAGUAACUGUUCAAUGUGUGACGGUAUCUUACCAGAAAGGAACGGCUAAAUACGUGCCAGCAGCCGCGGUAAUACGUAUGUUCCAAGCGUUAUCCGGAUUUAUUGGGCGUAAAGCGAGCGCAGACGGUUAUUUAAGUCUGAAGUGAAAGCCCUCAGCUCAACUGAGGAAUUGCUUUGGAAACUGGAUGACUUGAGUGCAGUAGAGGAAAGUGGAACUCCAUGUGUAGCGGUGAAAUGCGUAGAUAUAUGGAAGAACACCAGUGGCGAAAGCGGCUUUCUGGACUGUAACUGACGUUGAGGCUCGAAAGUGUGGGUAGCAAACAGGAUUAGAUACCCUGGUAGUCCACACCGUAAACGAUGAGUGCUAGUGUUUGAGGGUUUCCGCCCUUAAGUGCCGCAG